UACGUAGGGGGCGAGCGUUGUCCGGGAUUUAUUGGGGCGUAAAGAGCGUGUAGGCGGCCAGGUAGGUCUGCUGUGAAAACUCGAGGCUCAACCUCGAGACGUCGGCGGAAACCAUCUGGCUAGAGUCCGGAAGAGGAGAGUGGAAUUCCUGGUGUAGCGGUGAAAUGCGCAGAUAUCAGGAAGAACACCCGUGGCGAAGGCGGCUCUCUGGGACGGGUACUGACGCUGAGACGCGAAAGCGUGGGGAGGC
rnacentral:rRNA from 1 species